rnacentral:rRNA from 1 species
UGCCAGCCGCCGCGGUAAUACGGAGGGUGCAAGCGUUAUCCGGAAUCAUUGGGUUUAAAGGGUCCGCAGGCGGAUGUAUAAGUCAGUGGUGAAAUCUCUCGGCUCAACCGAGAAACUGCCAUUGAUACUGUACGUCUUGAAUUCGGUCGAAGUGGGCGGAAUAUGACAUGUAGCGGUGAAAUGCUUGGAUAUGUCAUAGAACACCGAUAGCGAAGGCAGCUCACUAGGCCUGGAUUGACGCUCAGGGACGAAAGCGUGGGGAGCAAACAGGAUUAGAUACCCUGGUAGUCCACGCCGUAAACUAUCAAUACUCGAUAUUAGCGAUAUACAGUUAGUGUCUAAGCGAAAGUGAUAAGUAUGGCACCUGGGGAGUACGAUCGCAAGGUUGAAACUCAAAGAAUUGACGG